rnacentral:rRNA from 1 species
AGAGGUAACGGCUCACCAAGGCAUCGACGGGUAGAUGGUCUGAGAGGAUGAUCAGCCACACUGGAACUGAGACACGGUCCAGACUCCUACGGGAGGCAGCAGUGGGGAAUCUUGCACAAUGGGCGCAAGCCUGAUGCAGCAACGCCGCGUGCGGGAAGAAGGCCCUAGGGUCGUAAACCGCUUUCAGGAGGGAAGAAAAUGACGGUACCUCCAGAAGAAGGUGCGGCCAACUACGUGCCAGCAGCCGCGGUGACACGUAGGCACCAAGCGUUAUCCGGAUUUAUUGGGCGUAAAGAGCUCGUAGGCGGUUCGGUAAGUCGGGUGUGAAAAUCCAAGGCUCAACCUUGGGACGCCACCCGAUACUGCUGUGACUCGAGUGCAGUAGGGGAGCAGGGAAUUCCUGGUGUAGCGGUGAAAUGCGCAGAUAUCAGGAGGAACACCAGUGGCGAAGGCGCUGCUCUGGGCUGUAACUGACGCUGAGGAGCGAAAGCAUGGGUAGCAAACAGGAUUAGAUACCCUGGUAGUCCAUGCCGUAAACGUUGGGCACUAGGUGUGGGUCUCAACCAACGAGAUCCGCGCCGUCGCUAACGCAUUAAGUGCCCCGCCUGGGGAGUACGGAA